GGUAUUUUGACUAUGCGAAGGUAUUGAAAUAAGGCUUUAAAUGAGUGCUAAGAGAAUGGUUUAACAAUUUUAAGCUUUCUUUAAUUAAAAAAUUGAAUUUAAUUUUUUUUGUGAAGAAGCAAAAAUUUAAAUUAGGGACAAGAAGACCCUAUGAAUUUUGAAUUAAACAAUAUAAUUUGUAUAGGUUUAUUUUGUUUAAAUUAAUUGGGGUGAUUUGGAAAGAAUAUGUAUCUUUUUAAGAAAAUUAAUUUGUUCCGUUUUUAACGAUUUUAUGAAAAAAAUACUCUAGGGAUAACAGCGUAAUAAUUUUGGAUAGUUCAUAUAGAUAAAAUAGUUUGCGACCUCGAUGUUGGAUUAGGAUUCUUUUUUAGUGAAGAAAUUAAAGAGAAGAAGUUUGUUCAACUUUUAAAUUCCU
rnacentral:rRNA from 1 species